GGAAUCUUGCGCAAUGGGCGAAAGCCUGACGCAGCGACGCCGCGUGAGGGAUGAAGCUUUUCGGAGCGUAAACCUCUUUCGCCCCGGAAGAAUACCCGCAAGGGUUUGACGGUACGGGGAGAAGAAGCCCCGGCUAACUACGGUCCAGCAGCCGCGGUAAUACGUAGGGGGCCAGCGGUGCUCGGAAUGACUGGGCGUAAAGGGUAUGUAGGCGGUGCGGUAAGUCCGGAGUGAAAUCUCCAGGCUCAACUUGGAGGCUGCUUCGGAAGCUGCCGUGCUCGAGUGUGGGAGAGGCGCGUGGAAUUGCAGGUGUAGCGGUGAAAUGCGUAGAUAUCUGCAGGAACACCAGUGGCGAAAGCGGCGCGCUGGACCACAACUGACGCUGAGAGACGAAAGCUAGGGGAGCAAAC
rnacentral:rRNA from 1 species